rnacentral:rRNA from 1 species
CCUACUGGAGGCAGCAGUGAGGAAUAUUGGUCAAUGGGCGAGAGCCUGAACCAGCCAAGUCGCGUGAGGGAAGACGGACCUAUGGAUUGUAAACCUCUUUUGUCGGGGAGCAAAAAGGCCUCGUGAGGCCACAAGUGAGAGUACCCGAAGAAACAGCAUCGGCUAACUCCGUGCCAGCAGCUGCGGUAGUACGGGGGAUGCGAGCUUUAUCCGGGUUUAUUGGGUUUAAAGGGUGCGUGGGCGGACUGGAAAGUCAGCGGGAAAAUUGAGGGGCUCAACCUCGUGCCGCAGUUGAAACUGGCGGUCUUGAGUAGGGGAGAGGUAUGCGGAAUGCGUGGUGUAGCGGUGAAAUGCGUAGAUAUCACGAAGAACUCCGAUUGCGAAGGCAGCAUACCGG